CAAUUAUUAAAUUACUACACAAGGGCAGUUCGGAGGAAAUUUAAGUACGCGAAUGACGUCUUUAGAACCUGUAAAGAUAGAGUUACAUUUAAUUGUCAGCAGAUAAAUAGCUGACAUCAAUUUUGAAUAGUUAGAAUAUUUGUAAAAAAUUACACUUGCGAAUGUAGACAAGGAUAAAUUAACUAUUCUACCGGCGCUAAUUUUUGCCGGAUUACUUGACAUUGCGAUGAUCAAAACGAGGUCUUGCACCGACUUGGCUGGUAAGCGGUACCAAUCUAUCAUGCAACAGGAUAUUCCAACAUCACCAAUGUAACAUAGUAAAAACAUAUUGAACGUCAAGGAUAUUAACAAUAACGAAUAUGUUGUCAGACCAAUUUUAUUAUUCUGUUGCCAGUCCUGUUAGAAAUAUAAAAAUAUUAUAA
rnacentral:misc_RNA from 1 species